GUUGACCUCGGAUCAGGUAGGGAUACCCGCUGAACUUAAGCAUAUCAAUAAGCGGAGGAAAGAAACCAACAGGGAUUGCCUUAGUAACGGCGAGUGAAGCGGCAACAGCUCAAAUUUGAAAUCUGGCGCAAGCCCGAGUUGUAAUUUGUAGAGGAUGCUUCUGGGUAGCGGCCGGUCUAAGUUCCUUGGAACAGGACGUCACAGAGGGUGAGAAUCCCGUAUGUGAUCGGCGCGCGCCCUCUACGUAGCUCCUUCGACGAGUCGAGUUGUUUGGGAAUGCAGCUCUAAAUGGGAGGUAAAUUUCUUCUAAAGCUAAAUACUGGCCAGAGACCGAUAGCGCACAAGUAGAGUGAUCGAAAGAUGAAAAGCACUUUGGAAAGAGAGUUAAAAAGCACGUGAAAUUGUUGAAAGGGAAGCGCUUGCAACCAGACUUGCGGGUGGUGUUCCGCCGGGCUUCUGCCCGGUCUACUCACCGCUCGCAGGCCAUCAUCGUCUGGGGCCGCCGGAGAAACCGUCAGGAAUGUAGCUCCCUCGGGAGUGUUAUAGCCUGGCGACAUGCGGCGCGCCCCGGGCGAGGUCCGCGCACUGCAAGGAUGAUGGCGUAAUGGUUGUCAGCGGCCCGUCUUGAAACACGGACCAAGGAGUCUAACAUCUAUGCGAGUGUUCGGGUGUCAAACCCCUACGCGCAAUGAAAGUGAACGGAGGUGGGAGCUUCGGCGCACCAUCGACCGAUCCUGAUGUCCUCGGAUGGAUUUGAGUAAGAGCAUAGCUGUUGGGACCCGAAAGAUGGUGAACUAUGCCUGAAUAGGGUGAAGCCAGAGGAAACUCUGGUGGAGGCUCGCAGCGGUUCUGACGUGCAAAUCGAUCGUCAAAUUUGGGUAUAGGGGCGAAAGACUAAUCGAACCAUCUAGUAGCUG
rnacentral:rRNA from 1 species